AACGAACGCUGGCGGCAGGCCUAACACAUGCAAGUCGAGCGCGCCUUCGGGUGAGCGGCGGACGGGUGAGUAACGCGUGGGAAUAUGCCCUUCUCUACGGAAUAGUCCUGGGAAACUGGGGGUAAUACCGUAUACGCCCUUUGGGGGAAAGAUUUAUCGGGGAAGGAUUAGCCCGCGUUGGAUUAGGUAGUUGGUGGGGUAAUGGCCUACCAAGCCGACGAUCCAUAGCUGGUUUGAGAGGAUGAUCAGCCACACUGGGACUGAGACACGGCCCAGACUCCUACGGGAGGCAGCAGUGGGGAAUCUUAGACAAUGGGGGCAACCCUGAUCUACCCAUGCCGCGUGAGUGAUGAAGGCCUUAGGGUUGUAAAGCUCUUUCAGCUGGGAAGAUAAUGACGGUACCAGCAGAAGAAGCCCCGGCUAACUCCGUG
rnacentral:rRNA from 1 species